rnacentral:rRNA from 1 species
UUGAACGCUGGCGGUAUGCUUAACACAUGCAAUUCGAACGGAAACGAUGGUAGCUUGCUACCAGGCGUCAAGUGGCGGACCGUGGAGUAACGCGUAGGAAUCUACCUUGUAGUGGGGGAUAGCCCGGAGAAAUCCGGAUUAAUACCGCAUAAUCUCUACGGAGGAAAAGGGGCCUGUCCUUGGAAGCUCUUGGUAUUAGAUGAGCCCGCGUUAGAUUAGCUAGUUGGUGAGGUAAUGGCUCACCAAGGCAGCGAUCCUUAGCUGGUCUGAGAGGACGAUCAGCCACACUGGGACUGAGACACGGCCCAGACUCCUACGGGAGGCAGCAGUGGGGAAUAUUGGACAAUGGGCGCAAGCCUGAUCCAGCAAUACCGCGUGUGUGAAGAAGGCCUGAGGGUUGUAAAGCACUUUCAAUUGUGAAGAAAAGCCUGAGGUUAAUAGCCUUGGGUCUUGACGUUAACUUUAGAAGAAGCACCGGCUAACUCUGUGCCAGCAGCCGCGGUAAUACAGAGGGUGCGAGCGUUAAUCGGAAUUACUGGGCGUAAAGAGUACGUAGGCGGUUUAGUAAGUCAGAUGUGAAAGCCCUGGGCUCAACCUGGGAACGGCAUUCAAAACUGUCUAACUAGAGUAUGGUAGAGGGAAGUGGAAUUUCAGGUGUAGCGGUGAAAUGCGUAGAGAUCUGAAGGAACACCAGUGGCGAAGGCGACUUCCUGGACCAAUACUGACACUGAGAUGCGAAAGCGUGGGGAGCAAACAGGAUUAGAUACCCUGGUAGUCCACGCCGUAAACGAUGUCAACUAGCCGUUGGGGGGCUUGUCCCCUUAGUGGCGCAGCUAACGCGAUAAGUUGACCGCCUGGGGAGUACGGCCGCAAGGUUAAAACUCAAAUGAAUUGACGGGGGCCCGCACAAGCGGUGGAGCAUGUGGUUUAAUUCGAUGCAACGCGAAGAACCUUACCAGGUCUUGACAUCCCGAGAAUUUACUAGAGAUAGUUUAGUGCCUUCGGGAACUCGGUGACAGGUGCUGCAUGGCUGUCGUCAGCUCGUUACGGGACAUGUUGGGUUAAGUCCCGUAACGAGCGCAACCCUUAUCCUUAUUUGCCAGCACAUAAUGGUGGGAACUAUAAGGAGACUGCCGGUGAUAAGCCGGAGGAAGGCGGGGACGACGUCAAGUCAUCAUGGCCCUUACGACCAGGGCUACACACGUGCUACAAUGGGAAGAACAAAGGGUCGCUAAGCCGCGAGGUGGUGCUAAUCUCAUAAAUCUUUUCGUAGUCCGGAUCGGAGUCUGCAACUCGACUCCGUGAAGUCGGAAUCGCUAGUAAUCGUGGAUCAGAACGCCACGGUGAAUACGUUCCCGGGUCUUGUACACACCGCCCGU